rnacentral:rRNA from 1 species
GUGGGGAAUAUUGGGCAAUGGGCGAAAGCCUGACCCAGCAACGCCGCGUGAAGGAAGAAGGUUUUCGGAUCGUAAACUUCUAUCCUUGGUGAAGAUAAUGACGGUAGCCAAGAAGGAAGCCCCGGCUAACUACGUGCCAGCAGCCGCGGUAAUACGUAGGGGGCAAGCGUUGUCCGGAAUGAUUGGGCGUAAAGGGCGCGUAGGCGGCCCGGUAAGUCUGAAGUGAAAGUCCUGCUUUUAAGGUGGGAAUUGCUUUGGAUACUGUCGGGCUUGAGUGCAGGAGAGGUAAGCGGAAUUCCCGGUGUAGCGGUGAAAUGUGUAGAGAUCGGGAGGAACACCAGUGGCGAAGGCGGCUUACUGGACUGUAACUGACGCUGAGGCGCGAAAGUGUGGGGAGCAAACAGGAUUAGAAACCCGGGUAGUCC